UCAUGUUCAAAAGGUUUCCUUUUUGGGUUUCAUUGUGUCUAAAGGUCAUAUCCAGAUGGACCCUGCAAAGACCCAAGCAGUUAGAGAUUGGCCUCAGCCCACCUCCGCCAAGCAGGAUCAAAGAAUCAAAAGCCUGAUGCUCUUUCCAGGCAGUUUGACCCACCCAACAUGACCUCAAGCCCUGUAAAGAUCAUUCCCCCCUCCAAGAUUGUGGCACCAGUCAGAUGGGGAAUAGAGUCCAUCGUCAGAGAGGCACAGCAGCAGGAGGCUGACCCAGGUAAUGGACCUCCAGGCCGUCUAUUUGUACCUAAAGCAGUGCGGUCUGAUGUUUUGCAGUGGGGACACUCCUCAUCAAUUACAUGCCACCCAGGAUCUAGUAGGACCCUAGAGUUCAUUGGCAGACGUUUCUGGUGGCCUAGGAUGGCUGAAGACAUCAGAGCCUAUGUGGCUGCCUGCUCAAUUUGUGCUCAGCAUAAGGAUUCCAGAUCCCGCCCACAAGGUCUCCUGCUACCCCUCCCUGUUCCUGCUCGGCCAUGGUCACAUAUUUCUAUGGACUUUGUAACUGGCCUACCACCUUCACAAGCAUGUGUUUAGGUUGCAUGGUUUUCCCCAAGAUGUUGUAUCAGACCGUGGUCCCCAGUUUGCUUCCAGGUUCUGGAAGGCCUUCUGCCAGCUGAUUGGAGCUACAGCCAGUCUGUCAUCAGGGU